UUUCUGCACUCCACAUGCUUACCUGUCAUAAAAAAUAAUAAUAAAAAAACGGUUUAAACUAAGGCCAGUGCCUACAGUGCAAUUCAUGUUAUAUUUUCAAGUUUUUCACAAAUUCUUUAUAGCUGCUUUUUAGCCAAGCAAUAUAUUUCUGACUGGUACCCAGUGGUUCUGGAUCCGCAGCUGCCUGUGAAUUUUUGAGGACGAGAUGCGGCCGCCAGACUGAUUGAGCCACUGCUCCCAUCUUGAAUUGCAUCGAAUGGAGAGGACACAAGCCACUUACUGUACCUAACAGUUCAAAUAAGAGUGUCUUACCAUUCAACGCCAUACCAUUCAACUAAAGAGUUAGCUCGCUCGCGGAGAGGAGCACCUGGGCCAAUGUGGCGCCCCCUUCGGAGUCCCCAGCGAAGACCGGCCUACUUCGCACAGCCAGGACGCGAACCUGCACUGUACGACUCACCCUGCGCACCACAAGGCUGCGCUUCUACCAGGUCGAAAAAGUCCCCUGGGUCGACACUGUCAAUACCUUUUAGAAUUUUGAAUGCCUGAAUCAGAUCACCGCGUAGUGUUCUUUGUUCAAGACUGAACAGAUUAAAUUCUUUUAGCCUGUCUGCAUACAACAUGCCUUUUAAACACAGGAUAAAUCUGGUCACUCUUCUUUGCACUCUUUCUAGAGCAGCAAUAUCCUUUUUGUAAUGAGGUGACCAGAACUGAACACAAUAUUCUAGAUGAGCUCUUACUAAUGCAUUGUAAAGUUUUAACAUUACUUCUCUUGAUUUAAAUUCAACACUUUCCACAAUAUGUCCAAGCAUCUUGUUGGCCUUUUUUUAUAGCUUCCCCACAUUGUCUAGAUGAAGACAUUUCCGAGUCAACAUAAACUCCUAGGUCUUUUUCAUAGAUUCCUUCUUCAGUAUCUCCCAUAUGAUAUUUAUAAUGCACAUUUUUAUUGCCUGCGUGCAUUACCUUACACUUCUCUAUUAAAUGUCAUUUGCCAUGUGUCUGCCCAGUUCUGAAUGCUGUCUAGAUCAUUUUGAAUGACCUUUGCUGCUGCACAGUGUUUGCCACUCCUCCUAUUUGUGUGUCAUCUGCAAAUUUUACAAGUUUGCUUACUAUACCAGAAACUAAAUCAUUAAAUAACUUUAGCGUAAUAGAGGCAGAAGUGUUAAAAGGACGAGGAGCUCUUAAAAUAAACAAAUCCCCUGGCUGGAUGAGAUCCUCCCAAUAGUACUCAAAGAAAUGAAAGAAGUUAUUUACAAACCGCUAACCAAGAUCAUGCAACAGUCUCUUGACACAGGGGUUGUACCGACAGACUGGAGAACUGCAAACAUAAUACCGAUCCACAAAAAGGGAGACAAACCCAAACCAGGUAACUACAGACCAAUAAACCUGACUUAUCUUAUAUGUAAACUUAUGGAAACUAUAAGAAGAUCCAAAAUGGAAAAUUACAUAUAUGGUAACAGUAUCGUGGGAGACAGUCAGCAUGGUUUUACAAAAGUGAGAUCGUGUCUAACUAACCUGCUUGAUUUUUUUGAGGAUGCAACAUUGACAAUGGAUAAUUGCAAAGCAUACAACAUGGUUUAUUUAGAUUUCCAGAAAGCUUUUGACAAAGUCCCUUAUAAAAGAUUAAUUCUCAAACUGAACGCAGUAGGGAUUCAAGGAAAUGCAUGCACAUGGAUUAGGGAGUGGUUAACAUGUAGAAAACAGAAAGUACUGAUUCGAGGAGAAACCUCAAAAUGGAGCGAGGUAACCAGUGGUGUACCACAGGGAUCAGUAUUAGGUCCUCUGCUAUUCCUAAUCUACAUUAAACCUGGAUAGGAACCGGUUGACAUGUGGGUCAUGUUGUCCGUAUCCUCCUUUGUAAAAACCUGUGAAAAGUAAUCAUUUAAUAUAUAAUAACUUCAUUUUAAUAUAUAAUAACUUCAUUCGGUUCUUGGCCCUCCAUAGAGUUGUGCAAUCAUUAUCAACAGCACAGUACCUAGCGUUUGUUUGCGGGCCAGUGAAUUCUCUAUUGAAGACACGUGUUUACAUCAUUUGGAGCCUGUUUUUGUUUUUUGACUAGACAAAUCUAUAGCUUAUAGGCCAUAUUAAACAAGUAUUUAUCCCAGUGUAUGUUUACGGCAGUUUUCUUCUUCCCAAAAUAAAAACAAAGCGUUUUUGUCACUACACUUCAAAUAAACAACUCAAGGGGUUCAUUAAAGAGUUCAUACAUAGCCCUUAGUUGUUUCUUGUCACAGUAGUUUUGUAACAUUAGUAGUAUUUACUUGGGCAAAAACAAAAUGCUGCAAACUUAGCAUAGAGGUUAAUGAUGUGUGAAGGGGCCUGUGUGCCCUUUUAUAUUAUAAUACUGCACGGCUGUCUUUAAUGCCCUUUGUCGCUUGUAUAAGUUGUUUAUAAAUACCUGUGGAGAACCAAGUCAUCCCAAACAAUAUGAACAAUAUGAAUUGCUCUGCUUCAAACGUCUAAACACAAAGCGACAUUCUGAUGUUAUAAAAAUUAAGAUUAUGGAUUUGGGUUUUGACAGAGGUCACAUGCCCUUGAGCUGCAACAAUAAAAUUGAUUAGUCGUGGCAUUAGGGAUAAACAAAAUAACCACUACCUCCCUCCUGCUUUACAUUUGUAUAAGUGACUGUAAAUGGUAAGGCGUUUGAGGCUAUGGAGCCAUAUUUUGAUUUUUACAGGAUGUGUCACAGCAUAUUAAAGAACUGUGUACGACAGUCAAAGCACUGUUAAUCUCCAUUAAUCAUUUUACAUGUGAUGUUAUACAAUGUCAGAAUGGAUUACAAAUGGAUUCUAAAUUGCAGAUUCUAAAGAUUAAAAAAAUAACAAUGAAUUGACCUUGUCUUCUAAGUAUGUAUGUGAUUGAUCAUUUUUGAAAGCAGGGCUGUCAGUAAAACUAAUGACAUAGCAAUUAGCUGGACUCAAUUUACUGUAAAAUAAGUUUUAUUCCAGGAAUAACAAUAACAUAUGUCAGAUGAUUAUACUCACACUAGCCCUGCACCCUGUACCCAGUUCUGGGUUUACAUACUACCAUCAAUGAAGUAUGUUACUUGAAAGAUUCAGUAGCCAGGAGCAAUCCCCAAUUUAACAUAUUGUUCCUUCCCUUAUAGCUGCAGGAA